UUGAACGCUGGCGGCAUGCUUUACACAUGCAAGUCGAACGGCAGCGGGGGCUUCGGCCUGCCGGCGAGUGGCGAACGGGUGAGUAAUGCAUCGGAACGUACCCAGUCGUGGGGGAUAACUACGCGAAAGCGUAGCUAAUACCGCAUACGUCCUGAGGGAGAAAGCGGGGGAUCUUCGGACCUCGCGCGAUUGGAGCGGCCGAUGUCGGAUUAGCUAGUAGGUGAGGUAAAGGCUCACCUAGGCGACGAUCCGUAGCGGGGCUGAGAGGAUGAUCCGCCACACUGGGACUGAGACACGGCCCAGACUCCUACGGGAGGCAGCAGUGGGGAAUUUUGGACAAUGGGGGCAACCCUGAUCCAGCCAUUCCGCGUGAGUGAAGAAGGCCUUCGGGUUGUAAAGCUCUUUCAGCCGGAACGAAACGGUACGCUCUAACAUAGCGUGCUAAUGACGGUACCGGCAGAAGAAGCACCGGCUAACUACGU
rnacentral:rRNA from 1 species